rnacentral:rRNA from 1 species
GACGAACGCUGGCGGCGUGCUUAACACAUGCAAGUCGAACGGAAAGGCCCUUCGGGGUACUCGAGUGGCGAACGGGUGAGUAACACGUGGGUGAUCUGCCCUGCACUUUGGGAUAAGCCUGGGAAACUGGGUCUAAUACCUAAUAGGACCACGCGCUUCAUGGUGUGUGGUGGAAAGCUUUUGCGGUGUGGGAUGGGCCCGCGGCCUAUCAGCUUGUUGGUGGGGUAAUGGCCUACCAAGGCGACGACGGGUAGCCGGCCUGAGAGGGUGACCGGCCACACUGGGACUGAGAUACGGCCCAGACUCCUACGGGAGGCAGCAGGGGGGAAUAUUGCACAAUGGGCGCAAGCCUGAUGCAGCGACGCCGCGUGAGGGAUGACGGCCUUCGGGUUGUAAACCUCUUUCAAUAGGGACGAAGCGCAAGUGACGGUACCUAUAGAAGAAGCACCGGCCAACUACGUG